rnacentral:rRNA from 1 species
UUCUGGCUCAGGACAAACGCUGCGGGGUGCAUGAGACAUGCAAGUCGAACGGGGUUGAGCGGGCUUGCUCGAUCAACCUAGUGGCGGACGGCUGAGUAACGCAUAGGUGACCUACCCGGAAGUGGGGGAAUAACUGCCCGAAAGGGUGGCUAAUACCGCAUGUGGUCGGCGAUUCACUUCGCCGCCCAAAGCCGAAAGGCGCUUCCGGCGGGGCCUGCGUCCGAUUAGCUAGUUGGUGGGGUAAUGGCUCACCAAGGCGACGAUCGGUAGCUGGUCUGAGAGGAUGAUCAGCCAGACUGGGACUGAGAACGGCCCAGACUCCUACGGGAGGCAGCAGUCGGGAAUUUUGCCCAAUGGACGAAAGUCCUGAGGCAGCAACUCCGCGUGAGGGACGAAGGCCUUCGGGUCGUAAACCUCUUUUCUCAGGGAAGAUCCAAGACGGUACCUGAGGAAUAAGCCACGGCUAACUACGUGCCAGCCGCCGC